rnacentral:rRNA from 1 species
UACGAAGGGUGCAAGCGUUAUUCGGAUUCACUGGGCGUAAAGGGUGCGCAGGCGGCCGAGUGUGUGAGGCGUGAAAGCCCGGGGCUUAACCCCGGAAUUGCACCUCAAACUACACGGCUAGAGCAUUGGAGAGGGUAGCAGAAUUCAUGGUGUAGCAGUGAAAUGCGUAGAUAUCAUGAGGAAUACCAGAGGCGAAGGCGGCUACCUGGACAAUUGCUGACGCUCAGGCACGAAAGCGUGGGGAGCAAAAGGG